CUCUGCUUCUGCUAGUCUGUCUCACCACUUUCCCCACACUUGCCAGUCAGCUUUGGCCUCAGCGCCUUUUGCAGGCAAUCGUAUCUAGAAUUUGACAAUAUUUUUUUUGGGGGGGGGGCUUGAUUUUAUUUAUUUUUGGCAGUUAUCUUUGCAUUAUGGUAAGAUGUUGGCCUUUCCAUUUAUAGUGGUGAUUUAAAGUAUCCUUUAAAACCUUAAGUACAAGUACGUGGUUAAGUACUGUACGAAGAAAUAACUGUGGGGAUGGUGGGGGGAUUAUGGUAACAAUAAUAGACCUGGCAGAGAAGCGACUGAGACAGUAGAACAUGACCCUUGAAGUAGGUGAGGCUGCUGGUUGGGUCUUAUCCGUCUUUUGAGGAGGAGGAAAACACAGAUAACCACAGGAGGAAUGAGUGGAAGAGUGUCAUGAGUUUCAAGACAGCACCUAGAUAGACACCGGUCUGGGCUGCCCAGCUCCCUCAACCUUCGGGAUUCAACCCAUGCCACUUCUUGCAGGAAGUCCUCCAAGAUGCCUGGCUCUGAAGCCAUCUCUCUUCCCAUACACUGAUCACCAUCCACUUUCUCUGGAACCAGGCAACACAGAGGGAAGAUUCCAGGUGAAGAUGGCCAUCAAGCUGCAGAGCCCUCACACCCAGAUCCUGAAGAUGACGGAACCGAGGAUGCAAAAUCACAGCUAGAACAAGUUGUGCAAGUCAUGUGUUUCUCCAUAAGACCGGGCCCUCCUGGCCGGCAGGAGGGCCCUGAGUCAUCAGACCCUGCCUGACCAAGGCCAGCCCCAAAGCCCUGACCACAUUGGUCUGGGGCAGGUGAAUGAGAAAACCCAAAAGGUGUCCACCAUCCAGGGAAGUGAGGCAGAAGUCUGGGCUCACAUAGCAGAGAUGUCCCCAAAGAGACAUGCCUAGGAGGGGGUUUCCAGGUGGGACCUAGGGAGGGAAGGUCACUGUGCUGGGGGGACAGCAGGCCUGGUAGGAGAGUGACUUCAGGCAGUGGGAGCACUGUACUGGAGA
rnacentral:lncRNA from 1 species